GUCCCUUUGAGUACAUUCGAUAAAAUUGGAACGAUACAUAGAAUAUUAGCAUAGCCUUUAUGAAAGGAUGGCACACAAAAAUCGAAAAUUUUCAAUGUAAUC